rnacentral:piRNA from 1 species
CUAAAUACUGUGAGGUGAGCAG